ACGGGUGAGUAACACGUGGGUAACCUGCCCAUCAGAAGGGGAUAACACUUGGAAACAGGUGCUAAUACCGUAUAACACUAUUUUCCGCAUGGAAGAAAGUUGAAAGGCGCUUUUGCGUCACUGAUGGAUGGACCCGCGGUGCAUUAGCUAGUUGGUGAGGUAACGGCUCACCAAGGCCACGAUGCAUAGCCGACCUGAGAGGGUGAUCGGCCACACUGGGACUGAGACACGGCCCAGACUCCUACGGGAGGCAGCAGUAGGGAAUCUUCGGCAAUGGACGAAAGUCUGACCGAGCAACGCCGCGUGAGUGAAGAAGGUUUUCGGAUCGUAAAACUCUGUUGUUAGAGAAGAACAAGGAUGAGAGUAGAACGUUCAUCCCUUGACGGUAUCUAACCAGAAAGCCACGGCUAACUACGUGCCAGCAGCCGCGGUAAUACGUAGGUGGCAAGCGUUGUCCGGAUUUAUUGGGCGUAAAGCGAGCGCAGGCGGUUUCUUAAGUCUGAUGUGAAAGCCCCCGGCUCAACCGGGGAGGGUCAUUGGAAACUGGGAGACUUGAGUGCAGAAGAGGAGAGUGGAAUUCCAUGUGUAGCGGUGAAAUGCGUAGAUAUAUGGAGGAACACCAGUGGCGAAGGCGGCUCUCUGGUCUGUAACUGACGCUGAGGCUCGAAAGCGUGGGGAGCGAACAGGAUUAGAUACCCUGGUAGCCCACGCCGUAAA
rnacentral:rRNA from 1 species